GGGAGGGCCUUAUGCCAAUAAUCGCUUUGAAAUAUAUGAAAUUUGCUUUUAGCCUUUUAAAUGAAAAGGUAGAUAGAACAGGUCUUAUUUGUAAAACAAAUUUCAGACCUACUUAUCUACCAACAGGA